rnacentral:tRNA from 5 species
GGAGGAAUACCCAAGUUCGGCUGAAGGGAUCGGUCUUGAAAACCGACAGGCGGGUUAAACCGCGCGGGGGUUCGAAUCCCUCUUCCUCCGCCA